rnacentral:lncRNA from 1 species
CUGAGGAAAAUGCUGGGAGACUAGAAUAAUGGUUGCCAUAAAAAAAAAUGCAGAAAUAGACUAUUCCAAUCCCCAUGCUUGGGUAUUAGAAAGGGAUGCAAUAUUUAAACCAGUAAAAAUUUGAUUUAUUACAGCAACAAAAGCAGAAAUGAAGAGAAAUUUCAUGGUCCUGAAAGAAUCUGGUGACAGACACAUACACGAAUAGAACUGGGAUCAUCUUUGGAAAAGUAAAGUUGGGAAAGGAUAAAGUCACCCAACAGCAAAGACCAGAGAGUCACUAAUCAAGGUUUGGUUAAGGAGUAAAUAAAACUGGAUUAGGGAGAGAAGAAAGCUUGCAGAGAUCCACCAAGUCAUUACAGCAAACUCUGCCCAGGCCAUUUGGGUACUAUAAGUGAUAGAGUAGCAGUUAACCCAGGAAAGUAGUAGUUAUGCCAUGUCACAAAGAGAUUUUCAAGGACAAAACAAGAAAAAGUCUCUCCCCAUCUCUUCCUAGUCCCUAAGGAGUGUGGCUAUACAUAGUAGUAUACUAAUUAUGACAACCAGAAAAUAUCUCUCUCUGUCUCUAUGUCAAGGUUGUCUCCAUUGGUACUGUUCUGAUCCCAGGAUGGUGAGUCAAAGAUGAUUAUCAGAAUCUAUAGCAGCUGAUCUAGGCCUUGUAUCUGAACUACUGGACUGCCCUAAUCAAAGACUGCUAAAGAGGAUGAGACACCUCAGAAGAUGACAUGCCUCUUUGACAGAAAAUUUACCCUCACAGGAGCACAGAUGUCUCUGAAAAUUGUCAGCAAUAGAAAAGAGUAAAAAACAAGAAGAACUGGAUGAAUGCAAAGACUUCUUUUGUUUUAAACAAGCUUGAAAAGUCUUGCAGAAGUAUUGCCAUUAAAAUUAUUUCAGGGGAUCCCUGGGUGGCGCAGCGGUUUAGCGAUGAGACCCGGAAUCGAAUCCCACGUCAAGCUCCCUGCAUGGAGCCUGCUUUUCCCUCUGCCUAUGUCUCUCCCUCUCUCUCUCUCUCUCUCUCUCUCUGUGACUAUCAUGAGCAAAUAAAUAAAAUCUUUUU